rnacentral:rRNA from 1 species
UACGAAGGGGGCUAGCGUUGUUCGGAAUCACUGGGCGUAAAGGGUGCGUAGGCGGGUCUUUAAGUCAGGGGUGAAAUCCUGGAGCUCAACUCCAGAACUGCCUUUGAUACUGAAGAUCUUGAGUUCGGGAGAGGUGAGUGGAACUGCGAGUGUAGAGGUGAAAUUCGUAGAUAUUCGCAAGAACACCAGUGGCGAAGGCGGCUCACUGGCCCGAUACUGACGCUGAGGCACGAAAGCGUGGGGAGCAACAGG